AGUGAUGACGGGGACAAGCCAUUCCUCUCAGGCAGCCCUUGUCCCCCUCCUGGCUCCAGAAGGGCAGCAUAGGCCCAGAAGCUGCAGGCGUGGACAGAAACGAGGUCUCCCGGGCUCCGGGUGCGGAAGGCUCAGUGGAAACUUUCUGAGUGGUUGUCUUCAAAAGGCCCACCUAGCACAGGACUCCAGAGAAUGCUUCGUUGAGCCCGGAGCAGCUGUCCAGACCUGGUGUCCAGAGUGAUCCAGCAGCUCCACGCAGCAAGCUCCAGAGAUCAGCCACAGACUGGUGCCCCCCCACCCCAGGCAGCAAUCGGCUGCAUCAUGGCCUCACUGGGGCACAGAUCAAGGUGAAGCAGGAUAAGGAAGAGAUCUUCCCCAGUGGAAGAGGAUGGAGAAGACCCUCACGGUGUAGCGGCUUCCCCAGAGGUUCCCACACCGCCUUGUGCCCCAGUGGGCUUUGAAGCCACAAGAGUCCUCUUUGCUAAGGUCCUGAGUUCAAAUUCCAGCAACCACAUUAUGGCUCACAACCAUCUGUAACAAGAUCUGACGCCCUCUUCCAGAGUGUCUGAGGACAGCUACAGUGUACUCACAUUAAAUAAAUAAAUCUUUUUUAAAAAAU
ensembl:lincRNA 1700030M09Rik RIKEN cDNA 1700030M09 gene